rnacentral:rRNA from 1 species
GGAUUAGAUACCCUGGUAGUCCAUGCCGUAAACGAUGUCUACUAGCCGUUGGGGCCUUUGAGGCUUUAGUGGCGCAGCUAACGCGAUAAGUAGACCGCCUGGGGAGUACGGUCGCAAGACUAAAACUCAAAUGAAUUGACGGGGGCCCGCACAAGCGGUGGAGCAUGUGGUUUAAUUCGAUGCAACGCGAAGAACCUUACCUGGCCUUGACAUACUAGAAACUUUCCAGAGAUGGAUUGGUGCCUUCGGGAAUCUAGAUACAGGUGCUGCAUGGCUGUCGUCAGCUCGUGCCG